GACAUUAUGCCAGAAAAAUGGGUUACUUUGAUGAAGUAAAAUAUGGGUCUAUUCUCUGAUGUUU